UGGUCAGCGGCGCCGCGUUUGCGCAGUUCCGGUCGCGCCGCUCCCGGCAGCGGAGAAGCGUGUUUGAGGUGGUUUGCUGGGACUCAGCGGCCGGGAUCCCUUUGGGACAGAGGACCUUAAAGACUGACAUUUCCCAGAGAAAGGCGACUCUUAGUCGCAAGGUCCCCUCGCUAAAAUAAAGGGACCCAUUCAAACUGAAGUCCGGAAGAGAAAGGAUGAGGGCUACGUGCUACCGCAAGGUCCAAGCCGCGCGGCUAGGCUUUUUGACUCGGGGAGUUCUUGCCCGGGUUUACUGAGCCCGCGGUGGCCCUUCUGAGCCAGCGUUAGGUGUGACCUAUACGGCGUGCGAGGACGGAACACGGGUUAAUGGAGAAGCGCGAGUGGGAACGACGGAGCCAGAAAGCACGUAGGGAGUAGGGGAAGCGCCAUUGGAUGCGCGAUUCCUGAUUCGCUGAGCCUCUGGUUCCCCUCUGAGCGACCUGGAAACCAUGGCAUCCCAGCGAUUCCUUCCAGAUGCUAAAUCCUAAGGUUUUUGAAGGGGCUGCUGAGUUGAGAGAACAUAAGCCUGUUGCUGCUGAAGACCACUCUAUAAAAAGAACCUGAUCUGAGAAUGAAGCCCAGCUCAGAGGGAAGCAGUCAAGAAGGGGAGAGAGACCAAGUUCUGAUGACAUCACUUGGCCCCUGGAUCCUGCUGGGCCAACCCCAGAACUUUUCAGUUUUUGAAAAACCAGUUUGCCGGGAUUUCUGUCACUUAUUACUGAAAGAAUUUUGGUAAAUAUACCUUCCAGGUGCAAAUACACUACUUCUAUCAUAUUUCCUUGAAUUAUGAGUCUAUAGAUUUCAUAGCUUGAAAUCUCAUGCUUAAGCCAGCAUGACUUGGUCUUUGACGUCAGUGCUUCCUCUUCUGAGGGGUCACAGAUGUUUUUCAUGAGUUACCUGGCCUGAAUGCUUCCCAGGCCCAAUGUCAAGUUCACUGGUCUGUGGUUUGUAGAACUCACUACCCCCCCCCUUUUUUUUUAAAAUAAAAUGGCCAUAUCAUC